rfam:Klebsiella pneumoniae subsp. pneumoniae MGH 78578, complete sequence.
GGUUAAGCGACUAAGCGUACACGGUGGAUGCCCUGGCAGUCAGAGGCGAUGAAGGACGUGCUAAUCUGCGAAAAGCGUCGGUAAGGUGAUAUGAACCGUUAUAACCGGCGAUGUCCGAAUGGGGAAACCCAGUGUGAUUCGUCACACUAUCGUUAACUGAAUACAUAGGUUAACGAGGCGAACCGGGGGAACUGAAACAUCUAAGUACCCCGAGGAAAAGAAAUCAACCGAGAUUCCCCCAGUAGCGGCGAGCGAACGGGGAGCAGCCCAGAGUCUGAAUCAGCUUGUGUGUUAGUGGAACGGUCUGGAAAGUCCGACGGUACAGGGUGAUAGUCCCGUACACCAAAAUGCACAGGUUGUGAACUCGAAGAGUAGGGCGGGACACGUGGUAUCCUGUCUGAAUAUGGGGGGACCAUCCUCCAAGGCUAAAUACUCCUGACUGACCGAUAGUGAACCAGUACCGUGAGGGAAAGGCGAAAAGAACCCCGGCGAGGGGAGUGAAAAAGAACCUGAAACCGUGUACGUACAAGCAGUGGGAGCACCUUCGGGUGUGACUGCGUACCUUUUGUAUAAUGGGUCAGCGACUUAUAUUCUGUAGCAAGGUUAACCGUAUAGGGGAGCCGCAGGGAAACCGAGUCUUAACUGGGCGUUAAGUUGCAGGGUAUAGACCCGAAACCCGGUGAUCUAGCCAUGGGCAGGUUGAAGGUUGGGUAACACUAACUGGAGGACCGAACCGACUAAUGUUGAAAAAUUAGCGGAUGACUUGUGGCUGGGGGUGAAAGGCCAAUCAAACCGGGAGAUAGCUGGUUCUCCCCGAAAGCUAUUUAGGUAGCGCCUCGUGAAUUCAUCUUCGGGGGUAGAGCACUGUUUCGGCUAGGGGGUCAUCCCGACUUACCAACCCGAUGCAAACUACGAAUACCGAAGAAUGUUAUCACGGGAGACACACGGCGGGUGCUAACGUCCGUCGUGAAGAGGGAAACAACCCAGACCGCCAGCUAAGGUCCCAAAGUCAUGGUUAAGUGGGAAACGAUGUGGGAAGGCACAGACAGCCAGGAUGUUGGCUUAGAAGCAGCCAUCAUUUAAAGAAAGCGUAAUAGCUCACUGGUCGAGUCGGCCUGCGCGGAAGAUGUAACGGGGCUAAACCAUGCACCGAAGCUGCGGCAGCGACACUAUGUGUUGUUGGGUAGGGGAGCGUUCUGUAAGCCUGCGAAGGUGACCUGUGAGGGUUGCUGGAGGUAUCAGAAGUGCGAAUGCUGACAUAAGUAACGAUAAAGCGGGUGAAAAGCCCGCUCGCCGGAAGACCAAGGGUUCCUGUCCAACGUUAAUCGGGGCAGGGUGAGUCGACCCCUAAGGCGAGGCCGAAAGGCGUAGUCGAUGGGAAACAGGUUAAUAUUCCUGUACUUGGUGUUACUGCGAAGGGGGGACGGAGAAGGCUAUGUUAGCCGGGCGACGGUUGUCCCGGUUUAAGCAUGUAGGCUGAUUGUCCAGGCAAAUCCGGAUAAUCAAGGCUGAGGUGUGAUGACGAGGCACUACGGUGCUGAAGUAACAAAUGCCCUGCUUCCAGGAAAAGCCUCUAAGCAUCAGGUAACAUUAAAUCGUACCCCAAACCGACACAGGUGGUCAGGUAGAGAAUACCAAGGCGCUUGAGAGAACUCGGGUGAAGGAACUAGGCAAAAUGGUGCCGUAACUUCGGGAGAAGGCACGCUGGUGUGUAGGUGAAGCCCCUGCGGGUGGAGCUGAGACCAGUCGAAGAUACCAGCUGGCUGCAACUGUUUAUUAAAAACACAGCACUGUGCAAACACGAAAGUGGACGUAUACGGUGUGACGCCUGCCCGGUGCCGGAAGGUUAAUUGAUGGGGUUAUCCGUAAGGAGAAGCUCUUGAUCGAAGCCCCGGUAAACGGCGGCCGUAACUAUAACGGUCCUAAGGUAGCGAAAUUCCUUGUCGGGUAAGUUCCGACCUGCACGAAUGGCGUAAUGAUGGCCAGGCUGUCUCCACCCGAGACUCAGUGAAAUUGAACUCGCUGUGAAGAUGCAGUGUACCCGCGGCAAGACGGAAAGACCCCGUGAACCUUUACUAUAGCUUGACACUGAACAUUGAGCCUUGAUGUGUAGGAUAGGUGGGAGGCUUUGAAGCGUGGACGCCAGUCUGCGUGGAGCCAACCUUGAAAUACCACCCUUUAAUGUUUGAUGUUCUAACGUUGGCCCCUUACCGGGGUUGCGGACAGUGUCUGGUGGGUAGUUUGACUGGGGCGGUCUCCUCCCAAAGCGUAACGGAGGAGCACGAAGGUUAGCUAAUCCUGGUCGGACAUCAGGAGGUUAGUGCAAUGGCAUAAGCUAGCUUGACUGCGAGCGUGACGGCGCGAGCAGGUGCGAAAGCAGGUCAUAGUGAUCCGGUGGUUCUGAAUGGAAGGGCCAUCGCUCAACGGAUAAAAGGUACUCCGGGGAUAACAGGCUGAUACCGCCCAAGAGUUCAUAUCGACGGCGGUGUUUGGCACCUCGAUGUCGGCUCAUCACAUCCUGGGGCUGAAGUAGGUCCCAAGGGUAUGGCUGUUCGCCAUUUAAAGUGGUACGCGAGCUGGGUUUAGAACGUCGUGAGACAGUUCGGUCCCUAUCUGCCGUGGGCGCUGGAGAAUUGAGGGGGGCUGCUCCUAGUACGAGAGGACCGGAGUGGACGCAUCACUGGUGUUCGGGUUGUCAUGCCAAUGGCACUGCCCGGUAGCUAAAUGCGGAAGAGAUAAGUGCUGAAAGCAUCUAAGCACGAAACUUGCCCCGAGAUGAGUUCUCCCUGAGACUUUAAGUCUCCUGAAGGAACGUUAAAGACGAUGACGUUGAUAGGCCGGGUGUGUAAGCGCAGCGAUGCGUUGAGCUAACCGGUACUAAUGAACCGUGAGGCUUAACCUU